rnacentral:rRNA from 1 species
UAAUACGUAGGUGGCAAGCGUUGUCCGGAAUUAUUGGGCGUAAAGCGCGCGCAGGCGGUCUUUUAAGUCUGAUGUGAAAGCCCACGGCUCAACCGUGGAGGGUCAUUGGAAACUGGAAGACUUGAGUGCAGAAGAGGAGAGUGGAAUUCCACGUGUAGCGGUGAAAUGCGUAGAGAUGUGGAGGAACACCAGCGGCGAAGGCGACUCUCUGGUCUGUAACUGACGCUGAGGCGCGAAAGCGUGGGGAGCAAACAGGAUUAGAUACCCUGGUAGUCCACGCCGUAAACGAUGAGUGCUAAGUGUUAGAGGGUUUCCGCCCUUUAGUGCUGCAGCUAACGCAUUAAGCACUCCGCCUGGGGAGUACGACCGCAAGGUUGAA